GCGGGUACACUCACCCGGAAACAGAACUUGGGAGGAUGUAGCACAUUGGCUGGGUGUAGAGGAAGAGUAGAGAGUGGGUGGGUUUAGAGGAGUGACGUAGGCGGAAGCUGGGAAUCCUCGUGGAUGAGGACAGGGAAGUGGACUGAGGAGCCAAAGCCAGAAGUGUCAAGUGCCCGUUGCCUGUCGUUUUCUCGGGUCCUGAACGGUGGGGAACCGCGUGGUGCAGACCUGGGUGCGGACACGGCGGGGUGUCGCGGGGACACGAAAUCUCCCCGGAGCCGCAGUCGCCGCGCGGGGCGGCCUGGGAAAGUCACCAGUCAGCAGCGCAGUGGCGGGAACCGCAGCCCGGCGGCCCUGGAACCUCCCAGGUCUCACUGAUCACCCAGACCUGCUCACCUGUGCAGCAGAACAAAGUGGCCUGGAAGGAGAGAGGAGACAGGAGCUAAGGAUCCAGGGCAGCAAGGCAUCUAUCUGUUCAUUGUUCCUGAAAGAGAAACUCUAAGAAGUGGAAGAAAAAGAAAUGGCUCAUUUCUCCAGUAAACAUGCCCCAGAAGAGGGCUUCAGGUCCCAUAGAGAUGGUUAUGAUCCACUAUGUGGUUGCUAGGAAUUGAACUCAGGACCUCUGGAAGAACAACCAGUACUCCUAACUGCUGAGCCAUCUCUAGAGCCCCUUAUAUCCUUUUUCAUAACUGGUGUUCAUUGCCUGCAUUCAGUCCUACCUCAACCCUCAUAUUUAACAUUUUUGUUCUCUUUUCUACGUGUUCUUCUGUGCCCACAUAUACACUGUUUCUAUAAACACAUAUUAUUGGCUAGAUUCUGUAUAUGAGGGUAAAUAUGAUUUCUUCUUUCUGACACUGUAUGACCUCUCUAUUACACAUUCUAAGUCCAACUAUUCUCCUGCAUAUUUUUAUUAUUUUUCUCUUCAGGUUAAUGGUAUUUCGCUAUAUAUGUAUACUAUUUUCAUCAUACAUUCAUCGGUUCAUAGACAAUUAGGUCACUUCCAAUUUUUCACUAAGUGGUAGUAAACAUUGGGUAUAAUAUAAGUAGCUCUAGAGUGGGGUGUGGAGUUCCCGGUAUAUGGUCAGGAGUCAAAUAGCUGGGUCAUACAUUAGUUCUUUUUUUUUUUAAAAAAGCUUUAGUUAAUUAUGUAUACAGUAUUCUACCUGCAUGUAUGCCUGCAAGCCAGAAGAGGGCACCAGAUCUCUUUACAGAUAGUUGUGAGCCACCAUGUAGUUGCUAGGAAUUGAACUUAAGACCUUUGGAAGAGCGUGCACACACACACACAACAACAACAACAACAACAGUAAAUAAGGGUAUCUUUCUCUCCACAUUCUCUCUAACAUUUGUUGUCAAGUUAGUUGGUGACAGCCAUUCUGCCUGGGGUGAGACAGAAUGUCAAAGUAGUUUAGUUUACAUUUCUGGAAUUUCAGGGAUCCCGAACGCUUUUUGCUAUUGACCAUUUGUGUUUGUCUUUGAAAAGUAUCUAUUCAAUUCAUUUGCCCAUUUGGUGAUUGGCAAUUUUAUUUCCUUGGAGUUUAAGAUCUGUAAUUCUCAGUGAUUCUAGGUAUGCACUGCUAUCCAAAGUGUCACUGGUACAGAUUCUCUCCCAUUCUGUGGGGUGUCUGUGUGCUCUGCUGAUUUUUUAUGUUGAUGUACAGAAACUCUUUAUUUUCAUGUAGUCCCAUUUGUUGCUAACAUGUGUUAGUUACUGUGCUGUUGCUGUUCUUUCUAAUCAGUAAAUUCUUGCCCAUUCUAAUGUCCUGCUGGGUAUUCCCUAUGUUUUCUAGGUUUCUGUGUGUCUGGUUUUAAAUGAGGUUUUGGAUCCAGUUUGAAUUGAUUUUUAUACAAUGUGAAAGAUAAGAUUCUAAUAUAAUUCUCACAGAAUUUAGUAUAUUCAUUUACUGACAGGAAAUCUAUGUAACUCCCGAAUGUAUACACAUUUAUUAUACUUACAUGUACGUGCUUAGGUGAGCUUAAAUAUUAUUAGAUGUGUUUUUGAACUUCCAUCAAUUUUUAUAACUCUUUGUGAGUGAAGUCUUCAAAACGUCUGAAAUUGUUGUUUAUCUAAGUCAGCCUCUGAAUAUUUUUAGAAAAAUCUGGAUUAUAUCAAGUGUGGCUGAUGCAUAUAUCCAUCUGCUUAGAAGUGGCCCAAAAUUCUCAUGAUAUUAAUUUUAUAGACUCCUUGAUCUUAUAUAUUAACUUUAAAAUUUGGAGUACACAGUGUCACAUUCCUUGUUACUGUGGGGAAAACCCCAAACUCUUUGACUAUUGAGUCAAUCACAAAUUUUGCCUUCUGUAUCCACCCCUUUGCUAUUUAAUGAUGUGACUUUAGACCUAGAGUCUAAACAUCCCAAGUGAACUUGAUAGAAUAGAGUCAUGUAAGGUCCACGUACACACAGGAUUGAUUUGGUGUCAGUACUAUAGCAUGAUCUUCAGGUAUAGCCUUUAAAAGCACAUUUCCUCAUCAAGGAUUUCCCUUCUGAGACGUGUACACUGUGAUUCUUUGCAAUAUAACACAGGAUCCAUAAAAGAUAACCCUGUCUAGACCUUAAAUGGGUGUCUUGUUGCAGGGACAUGCUUGUGAGACUAUUAUGUCAUCCUGUUUUUAGAGGUAGAAUAUUCAUUAUAGAGUGUGACUGUUAUUAUGUCAUUGUUUUGAGUAGUUGUCUUCACUCGUCUACAUCCCUAAUUUCCUUAAGUCUCCUUACAUCCAAGAAAGCACUCUGUCUGGUGUCACAUGAUCAAACUGUACCUUUUG